rnacentral:snRNA from 1 species
AUGCUUGCUUCAGCAGCACACAUACUAAAAUUGGAACAAUACAGAGGAGAUUAGCAUGGGCCCUGCGCAAGGAUGACACGCAAAUUUGUGAAGGAUUCCAUAUUUCC